rnacentral:rRNA from 1 species
ACGGUUACCUUGUUACGACUUCACCCCAGUUACCGGCUCCACCUUCGGCAGCUCCUCCCUUAAAGGUUAGGUCACUGACUUCGGGCAUUUCCGACUCCCAUGGUGUGACGGGCGGUGUGUACAAGACCCGGGAACGUAUUCACCGCGGCAUUCUGAUCCGCGAUUACUAGCGAUUCCGGCUUCGUGUAGUCGGGUUGCAGACUACAGUCCGAACUGGGACGAUGUUUUUGGGGUUUGCUUACCGUCACCGGUUCGCUUCCCUCUGUUUUCGCCAUUGUAGCACGUGUGUAGCCCUGCCCAUAAGGGGCAUGAUGAUUUGACGUCAUCCCCGCCUUCCUCCCGGUUGUCCCGGGCAGUCUCUCCAAACUUCCCAUCCUGAAUGCUGGCUACUGAAGAUAGGGGUUGCGCUCGUUGCGGGACUUAACCCAACAUCUCACGACACGAGCUGACGACAACCAUGCACCACCUGUCUCGGAUGCCCCGGAAGGCUAAGGGCAUUACCCCUUAUUCAUCCGGAUGUCAAGGGCAGGUAAAGUUCUUCGCGUUGCUUCCAA